GUUUGUUUGUUUGUUUAACAUCUUAGGAAGGAAGGAAUUCAGCAAAAUAUCUCUAUUUUUUUAAGAGUAUGUAAACCAUUAACAUGGGAUCCAACAUGAAAAUGGCCUUGUUUGGCCAACAGAACACACCAACUGAGAAGCAAAGGCAGAGUCGUCAUUUCCAACAAACCUGGGCUUACCGUUACACAGCCUUGUGAACACCACUGCACCAAGGCCAAGUCGGAUGUUCUCAGCAGAGAGGGUGUGCUGUCUGUACAACGGCUUGGCUUACCACCUAUCAUUCAGACAAAACCACUUCAGGGCUAUCUCCUCUAAAAUCUUGUGGAAAUGUUCAAACCAAAUGGAUGCGCGCGGACAAAAGGAGAACAAGCGUGUUUGUCCAUAAUUAGGGAAACAAAAAUAUACAGUAGUUCAAAAAUGCUGCCUCCGAUUGUUGGUGGUAUCUGCUCGGCGUGCUCGCUCUAUUCCUAUGAAUCACACAACUGCUGAAAAGGCUGUGAAAUCAUGGCAUCAGUAAGCCAUCUUUGCUGUAGUCAUUGCGGUGUGGAACAAAUGUGGCAUGUAUUAGACUCCAUCCCACACACUUAUUUGUAGAGGUGAACAUUCAACUCAAAAUGAAGUAUUUUUUUAUAUUUAUUUUCAUUUUACAAAUUUAAAGAGAAACAUGAGAUUGAUUGCAAUCUUUGAUGUAAAAAAAAAAAAGCUGCAUGCCAUAUGUUACAUAAGAAUGCAUAAUUCAAGGACAAAAGCGUUCCUGUUAAAAUCGAGAAAGAUGGAAGGAAGAAUGACAUGGGUGUGUUUCAGAAUCGUGCAUCUAAAAGGGAAGAAAUCGAGUUUCUAUUUUUAUAGACAAAAAAAAA